rnacentral:rRNA from 1 species
UAAUACGGGGGGUGCAAGCGUUAAUCGGAAUUACUGGGCGUAAAGCGCGCGUAGGCGGCUUUGUAAGUCGGAUGUGAAAGCCCUGGGCUCAACCUGGGAACUGCAUUCGAAACUGCAUGGCUAGAGUAUGGGAGAGGAAGGCAGAAUUCCCAGUGUAGGGGUGAAAUCCGUAGAUAUUGGGAGGAAUACCAGUGGCGAAGGCGGCCUUCUGGACGGUGACUGACGCUGAGACGCGAAAGCGUGGGGAGCAAACAGGAUUAGAUACCCUGGUAGUCCACGCUGUAAACGGUGCGUACUAGGUGUCGGGGGUAUUCACCCCUCCGGUGCCGCAGGUAACCCAAUAAGUACGCCGCCUGGGGAGUACGGUCGCAAGGCUA